rnacentral:rRNA from 1 species
GCAAGUCGAACGAGAAAGGGAUUGCUUGCAAUCCUGAGUAGAGUGGCGCACGGGUGAGUAACACGUAGAUAAUCUACCUUCAAGCCCGGGAUAACUAUUCGAAAGGAUAGCUAAUACCGGAUGAAGUUGUCAGGCACAAGUCUGAUAAUGAAAGAUUGCCUCUUCUUGAAAGCAAUUGUUUGGGGAUGAGUCUGCGGACCAUUAGUUUGUUGGUGGGGUAAAGGCCUACCAAGACUGCGAUGGUUAGCUGGUCUGAGAGGAUGAUC